GAACACUUGUCGUGACUAAAUUAUUUUUCCUCGCGCGAUGCCAAGUCCGUCGAAAGUCGAAUUGUUUAUUUCGUCGUGGGACAUUCUAUAAUACAUUUGCGAUGAAUCAGGAGCUAAGGAACUUGUAAUAUUUUAUUUUUCAUUGCUGUGAACACUUGUCCGGACUAAAUUAUUUUUCCUCGCGCGAUGCCAAGUCCGUCGAAAGUCGAAUUGUUUAUUUCGUCGUGGCACAUUCUAUAAUACAUUUGCGAUGAAUCAGAAGCUAAGGAACUUGUAUCUGAAAUCCUCCUAUGGUUUCCGAGAUAAUUAUUAUCAGGCUGUGAACACUUGUCGUGACUAAAUUAUUUUUCCUCGCGCGAUGCCAAGUCCAUCGAAAGUCGAAUUGUUUACUCCGUCGUAACAGCAACGAAAUGCUCCAGAAUAUUCUUUCGGAUGACGGUGAAGAGCCCUAAGAAUAUGACGACCACGAAGGGUCAGAUAAAGCGAAGAAGGAAUUCCAAGUUUUUUGACAGGGCCCAAAUGCCUGUAGAAGAUUCAGAAAUAAAUGAAGCCUUAAAAUCAGACACCUUCGUCCGAACUCCUUCCGUCCUGUGUUCCGAUCCUAGAACCGUCGCCCUGCAAGUUUUGUGUGCAGGGUGUCGCUUUGAAGUUGGCCAGCCAGGGGAGCUCUGAACCCAUUCAAUUAGAUCCGUCGAGCAGCUAAUGCCACCUCCUAGAUCAUCUAGGGUACUCAAGGCCCUACGUUUACCGACCCAGAACAAGUUGAACCUCGCAAAGUUGAUGCUGUGGAGCCGGAGUUCGAGAAAACGAGUGCACGGUGAAGUGUUUCUGGAAACUUUCUGGAGACUUUGGCUGUAGACCCAGUUGAAGAAAUGCAAUGAACGAUCCUAGACCAUCAGAUACUCUGAUUCCUGAUUUUCCUGAACAUUGGGGCUCAUCAGCACCUUUUCGAUCUCGCUUUCAAAGCCAACGGCUUCUGGUUCUGCGAAUGUUGGGCUUGGAAUUCAUCCCCCAAAGCCCCAAGAUGAGUCAGAAGCUCAGGAGUGGCUACAAUAUUGUAGUAAGACCAUCCAGAAUCAGUUGCCGGGAGCAGCAGUUGCUGGAUGACGGUCUUACUACACUUUUGAAGCCACUCCUGAAUCUUACUCAUCUUGGGGCCUUGGAGGGACGGAUCCCAAGCCAACAUCCGCAAAACCAAGAAUCCUUGGCCUUGAAAGUGAGUUGCCCAAGGAGCAGAUGAAGCCACAAUGUUUAGGAAGGUCAGGAAUCAGAGUGUCUGCUGGUGUAGGAUCUUUCAGUUGCAUUUCUUUAACUGGGUCUACAGCAGAUGUCUCUGGACAGUUUCCAGGACCAUUUCAUUGUGCACUCGUUUCUCGGGCUUCGUCUCCACAUCAUCAACUGUGCGAGGUUUUACUUGUUAUGGGUGGGUACCGUCGGGCUUUAAGUACCCUAUAUAAACUUGGUGGUCGCAUAAGCUCCUCGUUGGAUCCAAUUGGGUGGGUUUUGAAUUCCUCUGGUUGCCAAAUUCAAAUCCACACCCUGGACACUAAGCUUGUCGCACGAAGGAGUGCUCAGAGUGCCUCGGAGAAUUAGUGGCAGAAAAGCUCCACAGUUCGACUCGAAGACUUCGAGGAUAUCGAUGACCAAGUCAUGACGGUACACAAGGAUCCGCAAGCCAAAAGACUCGGCCAAAAGAACGCCAUACUCAAGUCGGCAGAGCAAUAACCAGUUUGUCAGGAGCAGUCCUUCCAGAAGAUCUGGAUCCUCAGACGUCCUACCAAACCUAAGAGCUGUAAGGAGAAUAAGCAGUGUCGUCUUCAAAAGCGACAUCGGUGUGAUCGAAAUGGGCCACUGACCGGAAGAAGUGAGAAAAUGAUGGCCCAAACCCUGGCCAAGACAGUGGGGAAGCUGAAUUUCAAGGUCGAUCCCUCCCACAAGCACCUGCACUUACGCCUCGUUUCCGCUGCCAACUUUCCCUGGAGCGUUAAUGUGCAGGAAUUUGGUAAGGCCCUCGUCCUUUUCUUCAAACUGUUCCUACGUAAGACGAACUUAAUCUAUCAUGUGAACAAGGAAAUGCCCGGUGUAUUAGCCAGACUUUGUUUCGGGAAAUUUCCAGUUUUUUGCCAUGACUGCGGCUGAGGAGAAUAAAAUGCUGAAGAAACUGUUCCUGCUAUCGGCCAGCUUUUGAAAAGGAUCCAAAGACACAAAUGUACAACUGUUCGAUGUUUAAUAAACAAUUCAUUUUCAUAA